GUCAACUGGACUCAGUUGGUUAGAGCGCUGCACCAAAAUCGCAGUGCUGCAGGUUCAAUUCCUGUCAGACGACC
rnacentral:tRNA from 1 species